GACAGAGGGUGCAAACGUUGCUCGGAAUUACUGGGCGUAAAGCGCGUGUAGGCGGACCUGCAAGUCGGACGUGAAAUCCCUGAGCUCAACUCAGGAACUGCAUCCGAAACUGCGGGUCUGGAGUGGUGGAGAGGGAAGCAGAAUUCCUGGUGUAGAGGUGAAAUUCGUAGAUAUCAGGAGGAACACCGGUGGCGAAGGCGGCUUCCUGGACACUUACUGACGCUGAGACGCGAAAGCGUGGGGAGCAAACAGG
rnacentral:rRNA from 1 species